rnacentral:rRNA from 1 species
CAGCCGCCGCGGUAAUACGAAGGGUGCAAGCGUUAAUCGGAAUUACUGGGCGUAAAGCGUGCGUAGGCGGUGAGUUAAGUCUGCUGUGAAAUCCCCGGGCUCAACCUGGGAAUGGCAGUGGAUACUGGCUCGCUAGAGUGUGUCAGAGGAUGGUGGAAUUCCCGGUGUAGCGGUGAAAUGCGUAGAGAUCGGGAGGAACAUCAGUGGCGAUGGCGGCCAUCUGGGACAACACUGACGCUGAGGCACGAAAGCGUGGGGAGCAAACAGGAUUAGAUACCCCGGUAGUCCCUGUCUCUUAUAC